UAGAGUUUGAUCAUGGCUCAGAUUGAACGCUGGCGGCAUGCCUUACACAUGCAAGUCGAACGGCAGCGGGGACUUCGGUCCGCCGGCGAGUGGCGAACGGGUGAGUAAAGUAUCGGAACGUACCUUUCAGUGGGGGAUAACGUAGCGAAAGUUACGCUAAUACCGCAUAUUCUGUGAGCAGGAAAGCAGGGGAUCGCAAGACCUUGCGCUGAUUGAGCGGCCGAUAUCAGAUUAGCUAGUUGGUGAGGUAAAGGCUCACCAAGGCGACGAUCUGUAGCGGGUCUGAGAGGAUGAUCCGCCACACGGAACUGAGACACGGUCCAGACUCCUACGGGAGGCAGCAGUGGGGAAUUUUGGACAAUGGGGGCAACCCUGAUCCAGCCAUGCCGCGUGAGUGAAGAAGGCCUUCGGGUUGUAAAGCUCUUUCAGCCGGGAAGAAAUCACAUGGGUUAAUACCCUGUGUGGAUGACGGUACCGGAAUAAGAAGCACCGGCUAACUACGUGCCAGCAGCCGCGGAAUAC
rnacentral:rRNA from 1 species